GUUACCUCCUUUAAACCAUAAGCUCAAUCAAGUGAGCUAAUUGUACCCUAGUGUUUCCAAAACCGGACCGGACCAGCCGGUUCAACCGGUUGGAUAGCGAAUCUGACCAAGUCCCGGUCCGGACACCCAUACAGAACCAUAGUUUUAAAAACCGGAUCGGACCGGCUGGUCCAACCGGGAACCGGUGAGGUAUCCGGUUCGAGCUUCUCAUUGGAUCGGCCAUGCAGUUAGACCGGUGUAAACCCGUCGCGACUCGGUCAAAACCGGUGACUCGGCCGGUUCCGGUUCAAUGUUUACCAUUCUCAAAAAAAAUAAUAAAAUAAACGAUAACGGAUUUCGGUCUUAAGCAGGGAAUGGAAAGAUUGAUUGAACUAAAACCAUAUCAGAAUUCAUUUAAAACUCAAACAAGAAAAGGUGCAUAUUGUUCCUGUUAUGCGGCGCUAAUGUUUAUAGUGAAUAGUCAUGUGUUAUAGCUAUAUAUAAUUAGGGUUUUUACUUUGUGGCAUAUGAUGGGCUUGUCUAUAAAGCCCAAUCUUAAUGUUUCAAGAACAUGCAAUUAGAAAAGCUCGUGUCAACAAAAAUAAAAAGCAAUGUUAUUUAUUUAUGUAUGUUUGAAUAAUUUAUAUAUUUAUAUUUUUUUGAAUAAUUAUACUUUUU
rnacentral:lncRNA from 1 species